rnacentral:rRNA from 1 species
GAUCCUGGCUCAGGGUGAACGCUAGCGACAGGCUUAACACAUGCAAGUCGAGGGGCAUCAUGAGGUAGCAAUACCUUGAUGGCGACCGGCGCACGGGUGAGUAACGCGUAUGCAACCUGCCCGAUACCGGGGUAUAGCCCAUGGAAACGUGGAUUAACACCCCAUAGUACUUUUAUCCUGCAUGGGAUGUGAGUUAAAUGUUCAAGGUAUCGGAUGGGCAUGCGUCCUAUUAGUUAG